rnacentral:misc_RNA from 1 species
GAUGAAGAACGUAGCGAAAUGCGAUAAGUAAUGUGAAUUGCAGAAUUCAGUGAAUCAUCGAAUCUUUGAACGCACAUUGCGCCCGCCAGUAUUCUGGCGGACAUGCCUGUUCGAGCGUCAUUUCAACCAUCAAGCCCCCGGCUUGUGUUGGGGACCUGCGGCUGCCGCAGGCCCUGAAAACCAGUGGCGGGCUCGCUAGUCACUCCGAGCGUAGUAAUACAUCUCGCUCAGGGCGUGCUGCGGGUUCCGGCCGUUAAAAAGCCUUAUUUACCCAAGGUUGACCUCGGAUCAGGUAGGAAGACCCGCUGAACUUAAGCAUAUCAAUAAGCGGAGGA